rnacentral:rRNA from 1 species
GACGAACCGUGCGAACGUUGUUCGGAAUCACUGGGCUUAAAGGGCGCGUAGGCGGGCGGUCAAGUCAGAGGUGAAAUCCCACGGCUCAACCGUGGAAGUGCCCCUGAUACUGACUGUCUCGAGGGAGGUAGGGGCGUGCGGAACUUCCGGUGGAGCGGUGAAAUGCGUAGAUAUCGGAAGGAACACCGAUGGCGAAGGCGGUUCUCUGGGCAUGACCUGACGCUGAGGAGCGAAAGUGUGGGGAGCGAACAGG